rnacentral:rRNA from 1 species
AUUGAACGCUGGCGGCAGGCCUAACACAUGCAAGUCGAGCGAGCGGCGGACGGGGGAGUAUUGUCUGGGAAACUGUCUGAUGGAGGGGGAUAACAACUGGAAACGGUAGCUAAUAUCGCAUACCAUCAGAUGUGCCCAGAUGGGAUUGGCGAGUAGGUGGGGUAACGGCUCACCCAGGCGACGAUCCCUAGCUGGUCUGUGCGGAUGACCAGCCACACUGGAACUGAGACACGGUCCAGACUCCUACGGGAGGCAGCAGUGGGGAAUAUUGCACAAUGGGCGCAAGCCUGAUGCAGCCAUGCCGCGUGUGUGAAGAAGGCCUUCGGGUUGUAAAGCACUUUCAGCGGGGAGGCGUUACCCGCAGAAGAAGCACCGGCUAACUCCGUGCCAGCAGCCGCGGUAAUAC